UUAAGUUUCAGCCUUGCGGCCGUACUUCCAGGUGGCUCGCUUCACGGCUUCCCUACGGCACCGACAACGGUCGCACCGUGGCCGACACCUAGCGAGUAUCGUUUACGGCUAGGACUACCCGGGUAUCUAAUCCGGUUCGUGCCCCUAGCUUUCGUCCCUUGCCGUCAGGUCCGUUCUGGUGAGACGCCUUCGCCACUGGUGGUCCUUCAAGGAUUACAAGAUUUCACCCCUACCCCUGAAGUACCUCUCACCUCUCCCGGCCUCGAGCCGAACAGUAUCUCCUGAAAGCCCAACAGUUGAGCUGCUGGAUUUCUCAAGAGACUUAUCCGGCCGGCUACAGACCCUUUAGACCCAGUAAUAACGGUUACCACUCGAGCCGCCGGUGUUACCGCGGCGGCUGGCACCGGUCUUGCCCGGCCCUUGCUAUGCAAUGCUUUUUAUGCAUCACGACAGCCAGAUUUGUAACCUGGCACUCGAGGUCCCCUUAUCGCC
rnacentral:rRNA from 1 species